UAGUAAAUGUCAAUUCACUUUUCAUAGCCAAGCAUUCGGAGGUUGAGAUGGCAGAUGCGGUGGAGGGAGAGAGAGAGUUGUAAACAGCAGGUCCGGGACAAGUUAGCAUGUCCUGUGAACAGAAAUACAAAGUUUUAUGUCUGGGGGAAAUACAACACAUUACUGAGUACCACUCCAUAUUUUCAAGCAUAGAGGUGGCUGUGUCAUGUUAUGGGCCUUGAAAAAUAGGGGUAGGGUUGUAGAGAAUUGAAAGACCAUGAAUGUAAUAAGAAACCUUAGGUGCUGGUUUAAGACCGAUAGUAACCACUACAGAAUGUCAGGUCAGAACAAGGAUUAGGAGGAUGUCCAGUUUAAGGGGAGUUUAAUGUAAGAUGUCCACACACAUCACACACACACACACAUAUAUCCACUCAUGGUUCAGAUAACUGAGAAUCAUAUCCAGUGAGAACUGACAUUAACUAUGUGGUCGUUUAGAUGCACACACAAUUAAACAUCAGACAUACAGGGAUUAAGUCCACAGGAGAAAGAGUUCAGCAGGAGGGAAACUGGGGAAGUGCUCAUCAGGAUGGGGAAGCAUGUUUUGACCACACAGCGUGCUCGGGUCAUAGACUAACUGAAAAUGAAGUCCCGGGAAUCAAGGCAACUGAUGGGCUGAAGGAGAUGUGGUGAUAAGUAUUUGGCGUGACCUUGACCAAUAAAUAAGACACUGACAAAGGUGGGGGUCCUCUAAAUGGGAGACUAAGCUGCCCAACUAGAACUAACCAGGAUGGCUAGAAUCAGCUGUCUGCUUUAACAGGUAUGCUAAAGCAAAGGAGAAAAUCCUACAGGGAAACCUGGUUCAGUCUGCUUUCCAUCAGACACUGGGAGAUGAAUUCACAUUUUACCAGGACAAUAAUCUAAACACAAGGCCACAUCUACACUGGAGUUGCUUACCAAGAUGCCAACUUUCAGUUUUGACUUACAUCUAUGGCAAAACCUUGAAAUGGUUGUCAAGCAAUGAUCAAUAAACAACUAAUUUGAGAGGUUGAAAAAUAAAAAUAAAAAAGGGCAAAUAUUGCACAAUCCAGGUUAGAGCCUUACCCAGAAUGACUCACAGCUUUAAUCGCUGCCAGAGGUGCUUCUACAAAGUAUUGACUCGGGUGUGAAUACUUAUGUAAAAGAGAUAUUUCUGAAUUUCAUUUUCAAUAAAUUUGAAAACAUUCCUAAAAAUAUGUUUUGACUUUGUCGUUAUGGGGUAUUAAACAGUGCUUAAUUUGAGCCGGAUCCUGCUAGAACCAGAUCCGGGAGCUCUCUGAGUUGACUUUGUUCAUUCAGACACCUUCUUUCUCAGAUCCGGUACCUCUCGCGGCAUUAUUUAUAAAUUAUUUCACUGUUUGCAAAUACAUAAAUAAAAUAUAUUUUUGACUUUUUACCCAUUUUUCUCAAUUUCGUGAUAUAAUUGGUAGUUAGUCUUGUCUCAUCGUUGCAACUCCCAUAUGGACUUUGUACGAGAUGAAGGUCAAAACACGACCCUGCCAAGCCGCACUGCUUUUUGACACUGCUUGCCUAACCUGGAAGCCAGCCGCACGAAUGUGUCAGAGGAAACACCAUACAACUGGCGACUGAAGUCAGCAUGCAUGCGCCUGGCCCGCCACAAGGAGUCUGAUGGGACAAGGACAUCCCGGGCCGGCUAAACCUUACCCGGACAACUCUGAGCCAAUUUUGCGUCGCCUCAUGGGUCUCCCGGUCGCGGCCGGCUGCAACACAGCCUGGGAUCAAACCCGGGUCUAUAGUGACACCUCAAGCACUGCUUUUCAUUUUUUUUUUGUGCAAACAGUGAAACAAUGAAUAAAUAAUGCCGCAAGAGGUACUGUUAAAUUAAGUUGGCUCCUCGUUAUUUCUCCUGCCCCAUCAUCAUGUAAAAGUGUGGUGAUCCUUCUGUGUAAUCAUCCUAUCCUGCCACACUGAUUUAAACUAUCAAAAGAGUGGGUGGAAUGUACAGUUACAUCCUCUGCCUCAGUUGUAAAAAAGCCAAAAAAACAAAGAGCCGUCAGAAAAAAGGUUUUUGAACAUGCUCCAACCAAGGUACAUUUGGUGUCAGCCAGCCUUGUAGACAAGGACACCCAGGUUAUAGUUACUCUAUAGACAGUUUUUACAUUUUGAGUGCUAUCUUCCCAACCUCCUUAGGAGGCUAAACAUCACAGCCACAGGCCCUCUCGUAGCUUUGAGCAAGAAAUUGACUGUCAGUAGUUAAGUGGACUUGAUACUGGGAUUGUCAUUGUGGGAGGUUAAUGUGAAUAUGUGCAUCAUAUUGUCACAUAGGCAGGAAGCCUAUAUAUUCUCGUGUGUCCUGCUGUAGCCUAUAUUGAUUUAUUUGAUUUGAAGUUAUCUUCCGAUAUUGUGAUAUUGGUUCUACUGCUACAUGAUGUCUGGUAAGCCCCACAGCUGACUGUGUGUAUGUGGCGGGCUUUCUGCAGUGAUGUCUUGAAAAUAAUAUGAAUUUGAGUCUGGUAAACCCCACAGCUGACUGUGUGUGUGUAUAUGGCGGGCUUUCUGCAGUGAUGUCUUGAAAAUAAUAUGAAUUCGAGUCUGGUAAGCCCCACAGCUUACUAUGUGUGUGUAUAUGUUCUGCAGUGAUGUGUAACAACGUUGCUGUACAUUGAUGUCUAGAAAAUGAGGCAAUAAGAAAUUCAGACUUGUAUAAGCCCUGCAGCUAUACUCAAGUACGUGGGCAAAAAUUAUUUGAAUUAAUCAGCACCUUGGAGAGUGCUGUCCAUUUCACCACCAUAGAUAGUAGGCUACUUGGCUGUUUAUUCUGUCUGCUGUGCUGCUACGUUGUUUGACUUCUUUUUCUCAAUGCGUUCUGGUAUCUCAGAGCCCCCCCCCCCUCCAUUUUCAUGUUUAUCUCAGUUUAUCAUUCAUUUUCUCUCUCAUAGUUUGAUGGGCCAAUCCCGUGCCCUGGGUUCGGCUGUGACAUGAUCAUGGAGGAGGUGCCUGUGAGGAAACAUGGCGUUUCCAUGGUGACUGCAGACGUAGGGCUGGUCAGCAUGGUGUGACAGGGCAUCCUAGCUCUACAGCUGUUGCCCCCCAACUCCAUUGCAGGUGUAAUCAUAAUUACUGAUGGGGUGACCAGUGUGCCUGACGUGGCUGUGUGUGAGACCCUUCUGAACCAGCUCAGGAGUGGAACCAUCACCUGCUCCUUCAUUCAGUGUCUCAGCACAAGCUGUUCAAUGAGCACCUGGUGUCAGCUCGUGGGAACCCUGCAUUAGUGAUGAGGAGGAAGAAGCACGCAGAGAAGGAGGUGCACACCCACCUGGUUCUCUCCCUACAGCACAGUUGCUCUAAAGACUCCUCCCAGUCCCAGUUUGCCUCAUACUGGAAGCCCAUCCUGUACAUGGAUGCAAACUUCUGGCAGAGAUGGCUUCACAUGCACCACAUCACCAUCAUCCUGGGGCACGACAUGUGAGAGAUGCCUUGAGAGAUUGUACCUUUUUUGUUGUUGUCAAUUUAUCAAUAUCAUCCUUGGGAGCAGUCUUUACAGUCCUCUCCCAGUCAAUAGUAGAGAGAGAGAACUGUGGACCUUCUCUUGUUCCGUUACUGACUGUUUCAGGUCUACGCACCAACUAUUGUACAGUUGUUCCUCCUUUAAAAGUUGCGAGCUUACGCUGCGGGACUUAGAGGUAAUUUGUGGUUUAGUACGGCUAUUGUAAAGUGACUGUUCCACUGGAUGUCAUAAGGUGAAUGCAGGUGAA